rnacentral:sRNA from 1 species
GCCCGCGCUCCACGCCCGCGUCCAUGCAGCCCGGCUCCGGCCCCGGGACUAGUGGCGACUGCCUGGGGCGCCGGCGAGGCAUCCGUGGGCUCUGAGAAGCUCUUUGCGCCGGGAACCGAUAAAGGCCCAGCGCUUGAGAAGUCGGAGGCCAAGGCCGGGCCGGUGCCCAAGGUGUCAGGCCUGGAGCGCAGCCGCGAGCUCAGCGCCGAGAGCUUCCUGCCCACUGCCAGCCCCGCGC